rnacentral:lncRNA from 1 species
CUAAAGAAUAUGUCCCUAUGCACAGCCCUCCCUCCCCAAAAAUAACGCUGGGGGUAGGCAUUGCCCUUCCCCCUUGGGCUCCUCGGGUGUAUUUAAAAAAAUGUUUUGGCAGCUCAGUGUUUAUCAUCUGGGCAUGGGACACCAUGUCCAUGUCCCCAUAUUCCUAGGGUACAGCAGCAGUAGAUGGCUGCAACAACCUUCCUCCUACCCCAGCCCAGAAAAUAUUUCUGCCCCACCCCAGGAUCCGGGACCAAAAUAAAGAGCAAGCAGGCCCCCUUCACUGAGGUGCUGGGUAGGGCUCAGUGCCACAUUACUGUGCUUUGAGAAAGAGGAAGGGGAUUUGUUUGGCACUUUAAAAAUAGAGGAGUAAGCAGGACUGGAGAGGCCAGAGAAGAUACCAAAAUUGGCAGGGAGAGACCAUUUGGCGCUAGUCCCCUAGGAGAUGGGAAGAGGGAGAUAGGUAUGAGGGUAGGCGCUAAGAAGAGUAGGAGGGGUCCACUCCAAGUGGCAGGGUGCUGAAAUGGGCUAGGACCAACAGGACACUGACUCUAGGUUUAUGACCUCUCCAUACCCGUUCCACAGCAGCUGGAUACCCACCUCCAGCCUCCCAUGUGAGCCUGUCCUUAUGUAUGGUGUCCAACCUCUGAUUCUAGCAGUCAAGUGUCUUCCCCAAUCCUAAUGUCCCCUGAUCAUGUCUCUAGCGACUUGACCAUCUCUUGUUCCUUGGGACUGGGGCCAGCCUCUUGUCUGCCCACUUCCCUCUCAUUAGUCAGAUAGCCCCAAAGGCUCUAUCUUUAGCUCCCAGAGAACUUUUUGGUCCUCAGUAUUUCCCUUCCCCAUUCCUUCCUAUUCCCCACAACUGGGGGAGGGAAGGGAGAACAGGGGCACCUGAUCAUCAAUCUCCCCUGCCCCUCUCUUGAAGCCCCCUAGAUUUGGAUGAAGAGCAGGAUUUCCAGAAAGGUGAUA